rnacentral:rRNA from 1 species
UACGUAGGGGGCUAGCGUUGUCCGGAAUCAUUGGGCGUAAAGAGCGUGUAGGCGGCUUGGUAAGUCCGCUGUGAAAGUCCAGGGCUCAACCCUGGAAAGCCAGUGGAAACUGUCAAGCUAGAGUCCGGAAGAGGCGAGUGGAACUCCUGGUGUAGCGGUGAAAUGCGCAGAUAUCAGGAGGAACACCGAUGGCGAAGGCAGGUCUCUGGGCAUUAACUGACGCUGAGGAGCGAAAGCGUGGGGAGCGAACAGG